AGUGAACGCUGGCGGUAGGCCUAACACAUGCAAGUCGAACGGCAGCACAGUAAGAGCUUGCUCGUACGGGUGGCGAGUGGCGGACGGGUGAGGAAUACAUCGGAAUCUACUUUUUCGUGGGGGAUAACGUAGGGAAACUUACGCUAAUACCGCAUACGACCUACGGGUGAAAGCAGGGGAUCUUCGGACCUUGCGCGAUUGAAUGAGCCGAUGUCGGAUUAGCUAGUUGGCGGGGUAAAGGCCCACCAAGGCGACGAUCCGUAGCUGGUCUGAGAGGAUGAUCAGCCACACUGGAACUGAGACACGGUCCAGACUCCUACGGGAGGCAGCAGUGGGGAAUAUUGGACAAUGGGCGCAAGCCUGAUCCAGCCAUACCGCGUGGGUGAAGAAGGCCUUCGGGUUGUAAAGCCCCUUUGUUGGGAAAGAAAAGCAGCAGGUUAAUACCCCGCUGUUCUGACGGUACCCAAAGAAUAAGCACCGGCUAACUUCGUG
rnacentral:rRNA from 1 species